GUUUGGGUUGGCCGAAAUAUUGGCGCCUCUCCUUAGUCAUUGUAUCCACAGAGCUUCUGGCCAAAACAUUUCACCCAGCUUUAGACAAAGAGCUUCUGAAGGGAGGAAACUGCAGGAGCUUCAAUUUGGCGCAUCUCUUUCUCCGUUAGCAGCAACCGCAGGUACGCCGAUUUUCCGCCGCCGCCGCCUCAGGAGGAGGUGCUCUUGGUUGAAAAUCUUCCUCAGCAGUUGGCAUCCCAACAGAUAUCUAGAUCUUGGGGGUUAAAGGCAUACAUGAAGAAUUGCAUUUUUAUUCUUCUUUAAUACAGAAGUAGCAGAAAAGGGGAUUGAGGCUGCGAAGAAAGGAUUUAUCAAUGGAAUAGAAGAGAGUGAAAUGACGAAAGAAGGGCUUUGGAAGCAGCAAGCCAGCAAUGGCCGUUCCCGCUCUCCUGAGGAAAAGACAGAAGUGCUGAAGGAAGCUGGAGGUGAACGAUGCUCAGCCUUCAAGAAUGCAGAGAUGAAGCAGCCUGUGGAUAUCAAAUGCAGCUCCCCUAUGUUCAAAUGCAACUGAUGAAGCAGCCUGUGGAUAUUAAAUGAAUUUGUUAUUUUUUUUUGUUUUACUGUGUACUUUUGAAAUUCUGAAUUUUUUAUUUUUGAAAAAAAUUGGUGGCCUUUUUCGACCAUCGGUUGUCGGAAACUACGCAACUCAACACUUUCUCCACCGACCAAAUUUUCUGACCACUUUGUAAAAGUGGACGCUAUUUCCGAACACUUCAUGAGGUGGUCGGAAAUACCGACGAAGGUUUUUCCGGUUAUCCAAAGUGGUCGGGAAUGUGGUUGGAGCAACACUUUUCGAUCGGAAAUCGUCGAUUUCCAACCACUUUACGGUGGUCGAAAAUUUGAAGAUUAGCAGUAUAUCAUGAUGGGGAAAUGAUUGAAUGAACUUAUGUCUAGCCAAGCGUAAUUAAUAUUGCAUCAGUGGAGAACUUCUUGGAGGGA